AUGCCGGAAGGAGUAAAUUCUACCUCUAUAGUUCCUAUUCCUAAAAUUCCUAACCCUACAAGUUUGUCUCAUUACAGGCCAAUUAGUCUAUGUAACGUCAUCUAUAAGGUCAUCUCUAAGUGCCUGGUGAACCGUUUAAGGCCUCUACUUGAUGAUAUUAUUUCCCCGGAACAGAGUGCCUUUGUUCCCGGUCGUAUGAUCACUGAUAAUGCUCUGGUGGCCUUUGAGUGUAUUCAUCACAUUAAACAAGAAAAGGACCCGACCAAAAGUUUUUGCGCAUAUAAGCUCGACCUCUCGAAGGCAUAUGACAGGGUGGAUUGGAAGUUCUUGAAGCAGGUGAUGGAAAAGUUGGGUUUCUCUCACCGAUGGGUGGACUGGAUAAUGUCUUGUGUCACGUCGGUGAGAUAUUCUGUCAAACUUAAUGGGACCCUCUUGGAUUCAUUUGCACCGUCGCGUGGGCUUCGGCAGGGCGAUCCCCUUUCCCCCUUUUUGUUCCUUUUUGUGGCCGACGGUCUAUCAUCUAUUCUGAAGUAUUAUGUGUCCAUUGGCGAUAUUACUCCGGUGAAGGUGUGUAGAAGGGCGCCGGGAAUUUCACAUUUGUUAUUUGCCGAUGACACUAUGUUAUUUUUUGAGGCAACUCGUGUUCAGGCAGAAAAAGUAAAGAUGGCUUUGGAUCAAUAUGGAAGGGCAACAGGCCAAUAUUUG
rnacentral:rRNA from 1 species